GGUACCCCAGUCUAAAACUUUAAUAAAUUUAUACUUUAACGGUUUCUCUUAACCUCACGCUAAAUUCUAAAUCUACGACUGAUAGGAAGAGCUUCUGGAAAUAAAUGGUUUAUUUAAAGUGUAUUGAUUCUACUUUAAAACAUUUGGGAAGUCUUUAUGACUAUAUAUUGACAAAAUGAUCGAUAAAAGUUCUGAUUCCGAUGAAUCAAAUUUAAAUACACUUCCUAAGAAAAAAAUACGCAAAAACUUUCUAAGCACUCAUCGAGUUCAAAAAUUUCGAUUUGCUUGGCAAACUAAAAAAAACUAUGGAAAAUGAUUGAUGCCUCACCCUGAUGACCAAACGAAAGCCAUUUGCACUAUUUGUAAUAAGAAAUCUAUGAAAGCUGACAUCGGAGUAAUUGAUAAGCAUGCAGAAUCACUGAGUCACACAAAAAAAAUGGAAUCAGUCCCAUCCGAAAGUCAACAAUCAUUAAAAAAAUGUAUCGAUAGUAGCAAAGAAAAAUCAUCAAUGAGCUCUUUAACUAAGAGAGCUGAAAUAAAAAUGUGUGCUUUCAUGGUUGCGAGCAUAAUUUAUCAUUCAACAUUAUGGAUCACUUAAUAGAUUUACUGAAAGACUGUUAUUGAAACUCGAAAACACUUCAAGAAGUACAAUUGAAACCGACUAAAGCUAAAGCAGUUGUUAAAAAUGUCAUUGCAGAAUCACAAACUGUGACUUUGUGUGAAAAAUUAAAAAAUACGUUUUUCAGCAUAUUAAUUGAUGAGUCAACUGAUAUUUCAGCGAUUCAAACAUUAUGCAUUGUAGUCAGGUUUUACGAUAAUGUUGAAGGAAAAAUAGUGAGUAGAUUUUGGAAACUGCAACAGAUUUUUGAAAGAGAAAUUAAUGACUCUGGAAUGGAUGUUUCUACUGCUGCUUCUUCUAGUCAAGAAAUCAUUGCCCAAGCAGCUACAGCUGAGCACUUAUUUAAGAUCAAUUGACCGCACCGUUUUUGAGUAAUUAAUUUUCGAA